GGUAAUAUCCGCAAAAACGUUUCAGAGUUCUUGAAAAUGGAGACGUUUGUAAUAAAAAGCGGCGAGUUUUGGUAGGAAUCAUCUCUUCAUUCAGAAGUCAACAAAAUGAAUAAGUCGGCACUUCUACUCUUGCUUGUCAUCGGACUCCUCGUCCUCACCGAAACGAAGGCGGACUCCGUUUAUAAACACCCUAUUGCUCCCAUACCUAACCGAUGGAGAUGGAACCAAAUGGACACAGAAAACAUUGAAGAUCUGCUUGAAAGCUUCAUGACAGCUCAAGAAAUGGAAUAAAUCAACCGUUGUAAUACAUGCAGUUCGCUGGUUUCAAUAAAUCGCCGUCAAUAUA